rnacentral:rRNA from 1 species
GAUGAACGCUGGCGGCGUGCCUAAUACAUGCAAGUCGAGCGAACCACUUCGGUGGUGAGCGGCGAACGGGUGAGUAACACGUAGGUGAUCUGCCCAUCAGACGGGGACAACGAUUGGAAACGAUCGCUAAUACCGGAUAGGACGAAAGUUUAAAGGUGCUUCUGGCACCGCUGAUGGAUGAGCCUGCGGCGCAUUAGCUAGUUGGUAGGGUAAAGGCCUACCAAGGCAACGAUGCGUAGCCGACCUGAGAGGGUGAACGGCCACACUGGGACUGAGACACGGCCCAGACUCCUACGGGAGGCAGCAGUAGGGAAUCUUCGGCAAUGGGCGAAAGCCUGACCGAGCAACGCCGCGUGAAUGAUGAAGGCCUUCGGGUUGUAAAAUUCUGUUAUAAGGGAAGAACGACUUUAGUAGGAAAUGGCUAGAGUGUGACGGUACCUUAUGAGAAAGCCACGGCCAACUACGUGCCAGCAGCCGCCGUAA